GGGCUGACCCGUCUUGAAGCACGGACCAAGGAGUCUAACAUGUACGCGAGUCAUUGAGAUUGUAAAACUCAAAGGCGUAAUGAAAGUGAAGAUCCGUUUACACGGAUUGAGGAAAGAUCAUGGCAAUACUAGGCAUUCCGCAAGGUUUGUCGAGUACUAAAUUGUAUGCGCAUUUCCUGGACGUCUAUACCUCUGAAGGUGGGGCGUACCUAGAGCGUACACGUUGGGACCCGAAAGAUGGUGAACUAUGCCUGGUCAGAACGAAGCCAGGGGAAACCCUGGUGGAGGUUCGUAGCGAUUCUGACGUGCAAAUCGAUCGUCGGAACUGGGUAUAGGGGCGAAAGACUAAUCGAACCAUCUAGUAGCUGGUUCCCUCCGAAGUUUCCCUCAGGAUAGCUGGCGUUCAUAAAACCAGUCUCAUCCGGUAAAGCGAAUGAUUAGAGGCCUUGGGGCCGAAACGACCUCAACCUAUUCUCAAACUUUAAAUGGGUGAGAAGUCUGGCUUGCUUGAUCGAAGCUCAGACAUUAUUUGGAUGGUGAGUGCCAAGUGGGCCACUCUUGGUAAGCAGAACUGGCGCUGUGGGAGU
rnacentral:rRNA from 1 species